GUAUCAACCAGGCGAUUUAAGCAAUUAAUUCUAUAGAUAUAUUUUACAUAAACUAUGACAAAAAUGUUAUUAUAUUCGAAAUAAAAACAAAUCGCGUAAAUUUUACGACUUUAAUUACUUUUCGGCAAUGUAAACAUAGUGAGACUUUUGAAACAUUGAAAUGCGGGGGAAACGCGGAUUUCAGUCAGCUAAAGCGAUCCAGCGUUACAUCAAGGUUUUUUGACCCACAGAAGACGAUGGAAAGCUGCCUCACCAAGACACCAGACGCCGGAUCAUCUAUAUUUGCAAUCGCAGACGCAAGUCAUGUGUUCAGGUUUUGAAUAUAAUGUCUCCAGUAUGGAUAUGUUUGACGAUUGUUACUAUGGAAACGAACUCACAGACCAACAUGUAUGUCAAAACAGGUUUUGAACAUGAUGUCUCCAGCAAGGAUAUGUUUGAUGAUGGUUACCAUGGGAACGAACUCACAGACCUAUGUCAAAAAUGUCAUUUUCUGAUAGAAUAGACAUAAUGCUAUCAAUUUCACUUAAUUUUAGAAUUUUUUAAUUAUUCUGAUGUCAGACAUACACUUCCGGGUUCUCUACAGGUUUUAAAUAUGAUGUCUCCAGCAAAGAUAUGUUUGAUGACGGUUACCAUGGGAACGAUCUCACAGACCUAUGUCAAAAAUGUCAUUUUCUGAUAGAAUAGACAUAAUGCUAUCCAUUUCACUCAAUUUUAGAAUUUUUUAAUUAUUCUCAUGUCAGUCAUACCUUUCCAUUUUUUGUUUACAGGUUUUGAACAUGAUGUCCCCAGCAAGGAUAUGUUUGAUGACGGUUACCAUGGAAACGAACUUACGGACCUAUGUCAAAAAUGUCAUUUUCUGAUAGAAUAGACAUAAUGCUAUCCAUUUCACUUAAUUUUAGAAUUUUUUAAUUAUUCUGAUGUCAGUCAUACACUUCCGGGUUCUCUACAGGUUUUAAAUAUGAUGUCUCCAGCAAGGAUAUGUUUGAUGAUGGUUACCAUGGUAACGAUAUCACAGACCUAUGUCAAAAAUGUCUUUUUCUGAUAGAAUAGACAUAAUGCUAUCCAUUUCACUUAAUUUUAGAAUUUUUUAAUUAUUCUGAUGUCAGCCAUACACUUCCGGGUUCUCUACAGGUUUUAAAUAUGAUGUCUCCAGCAAGGAUAUGUUUGAUGGUGGUUACCAUGGGAACGAUCUCACAGACCUAUGUCAAAAAUGUCAUUUUCUGAUAGAAUAGACAUAAUGCUAUCCAUUUCACUCAAUUUUAGAAUUUUUUAAUUAUUCUCAUGUCAGUCAUACCUUUCCAUUUUUUGUUUACAGGUUUUGAACAUGAUGUCUCCAGCAAGGAUAUGUUUGAUGACGGUUACCAUGGAAACGAACUCAAGGACCUAUGUCAAAAAUGUCAUUUUCUGAUAGAAUAAAUAUAAUGCUAUCCAUUU